rnacentral:tRNA from 1 species
GUAGUAGUGCCUGAGAGGUCGAAAGGGACGGACUGUAACUCCGUUAUAUCACACGUUGGUUCGAAUCCAACCUACUACACC